UACGAAGGGGGGCUAGCGUUGUUCGGAAUUACUGGGCGUAAAGCGCGCGCAGGCGGUCUUCCAAGUCAGUGGUGAAAGCCCGGAGCUCAACUCCGGAACUGCCAUUGAAACUGUUAGACUUGAGGACGAGAGAGGUGAGUGGAAUUCCCAGUGUAGAGGUGAAAUUCGUAGAUAUUGGGGAAGAACACCGGUGGCGAAGGCGGCUCACUGGCUCGUUUCUGACGCUCAGGCGCGACAGCGUGGGGAUCAAACAGG
rnacentral:rRNA from 1 species